rnacentral:rRNA from 1 species
UGGGGAAUAUUGGACAAUGGGCGAAAGCCUGAUCCAGCCAUGCCGCGUGUGUGAAGAAGGUCUUCGGAUUGUAAAGCACUUUAAGUUGGGAGGAAGGGCAUUAACCUAAUACGUUAGUGUUUUGACGUUACCGACAGAAUAAGCACCGGCUAACUCUGUGCCAGCAGCCGCGGUAAUACAGAGGGUGCAAGCGUUAAUCGGAAUUACUGGGCGUAAAGCGCGCGUAGGUGGUUUGUUAAGUUGGAUGUGAAAUCCCCGGGCUCAACCUGGGAACUGCAUUCAAAACUGACUGACUAGAGUAUGGUAGAGGGUGGUGGAAUUUCGUGUGUAGCGGUGAAAUGCGUAGAUAUAGGAAGGAACACCAGUGGCGAAGGCGACCACCUGGACUAAUACUGACACUGAGGUGCGAAAGCGUGGGGAGCAAACA